rnacentral:rRNA from 1 species
UGGGGAAUAUUGCACAAUGGGGGAAACCCUGAUGCAGCGACGCCGCGUGAGCGAAGAAGGUUUUCGAAUCGUAAAGCUCUGUCCUAUGAGAAGAUAAUGACGGUAUCAUAGGAGGAAGCCCCGGCUAAAUACGUGCCAGCAGCCGCGGUAAUACGUAUGGGGCGAGCGUUGUCCGGAAUUAUUGGGCGUAAAGGGUACGUAGGCGGUCUAUUAAGUCAGGUGUGAAAGCGUGAGGCUUAACCUCAUUAAGCACUUGAAACUGAUAGACUUGAGUGAAAGAGAGGAAAGUGGAAUUCCUAGUGUAGCGGUGAAAUGCGUAGAUAUUGGGAGGAACACCAGUAGCGGAGGCGGCUUUCUGGACUGCAACUGACACUGAGGCACGAAAGCGUGGGUAGCAAACAGG